UACGUAGGGUGCAGGCGUUAAUCGGAAUUACUGGGCGUAAAGCGUGCGCAGGCGGUUUCUUAAGUCAGAUGUGAAAGCCCCGGGCUUAACCUGGGAACUGCGUUUGAAACUGGGAGACUAGAGUGUGGCAGAGGGGGGUGGAAUUCCACGUGUAGCAGUGAAAUGCGUAGAGAUGUGGAGGAACACCGAUGGCGAAGGCAGCCCCCUGGGUCAAGAUUGACGCUCAUGCACGAAAGCGUGGGGAGCAAGCAGG
rnacentral:rRNA from 1 species